rnacentral:misc_RNA from 1 species
AAGUCGUAACAAGGUUUCCGUAGGUGAACCUGCGGAAGGAUCAUCAUCGAAUUCAUAUCCCCCUCCUCUCCCGGAGGAGGGGGACCCAUGAUAAACCCUCUGUGCACCGUAACCGUUCACUUUGGCAGGCUUUGAUGGUGAGCGUGAGCUCACCUCCAACCUCGCGUUCCCUCCCUAAGGACGUUACGCGUGGCGGCCUGCCGAAGUCCUCCCAUUAAAAAAACGUUUUCGAACACGUCUGAAAAUUUGCUUUGAGAAAUCAAAGAAUCGAAACAACUUUCAACAACGGAUCUCUUGGCUCUC